rnacentral:tRNA from 1 species
UAAAAAUUAGUUAAGUUAAUAACUUAGACUUGUCAAGUCUAGAUCGUUCAGUUGAACAUUUUUAA